rnacentral:rRNA from 1 species
GUAGGUGGCAAGCGUUGUCCGGAAUUAUUGGGCGUAAAGCGCGCGCAGGCGGUUCUUUAAGUCUGAUGUGAAAGCCCACGGCUCAACCGUGGAGGGUCAUUGGAAACUGGAGAACUUGAGUACAGAAGAGGAAAGCGGAAUUCCACGUGUAGCGGUGAAAUGCGUAGAGAUGUGGAGGAACACCAGUGGCGAAGGCGGCUUUCUGGUCUGUAACUGACGCUGAGGCGCGAAAGCGUGGGGAGCAAACAGGGAUUAGAUACCCUGGUAGUCCACGCCGUAAACGAUGAGUGCUAAGUGUUAGGGGGUUUCCCGCCCCUUAGUGCUGCAGCUAACGCAUUAAGCACUCGGCCUGGGGAGUACGGCCGCAAGGCUG